rnacentral:rRNA from 1 species
AGAUUAAGCCAUGCAUGUCUAAGUAUAAGCAAUUAUACAGCGAAACUGCGAAUGGCUCAUUAUAUAAGUUAUCGUUUAUUUGAUAGUACCUUACUACUUGGAUAACCGUGGUAAUUCUAGAGCUAAUACAUGCUGAAAAUCCCGACUUCGGAAGGGAUGUAUUUAUUAGAUUAAAAACCAAUGCCCUCUGGGCUCCUUGGUGAUUCAUAAUAACUUUUCGAAUCGCACGGCCUUGCGCCGGCGAUGGUUCAUUCAAAUUUCUUCCCUAUCAACUUUCGAUGUUUGGGUAUUGGCCAAACAUGGUCGCAACGGGUAACGGAGGGUUAGGGCUCGACCCCGGAGAAGGAGCCUGAGAAACGGCUACUACAUCCAAGGAAGGCAGCAGGCGCGCAAAUUACCCAAUCCCGAUUCGGGGAGGUAGUGACAAUAAAUACUGAUACAGGGCUCUUUUGGGUCUUGUAAUUGGAAUGAGUACAAUUUAAAUCUCUUAACGAGGAACAAUUGGAGGGCAAGUCUGGUGCCAGCAGCCGCGGUAAUUCCAGCUCCAAUAGCGUAUAUUAAAGUUGUUGUGGUUAAAAAGCUCGUAGUUGAACCUUGGGCCUGGCUGGCCGGUCCGCCUCACCGCGUGUACUGGUCCGGCCGGGCCUUUCCCUCUGUGGAACCUCAUGCCCUUCACUGGGUGUGGCGGGGAAACAGGACUUUUACUUUGAAAAAAUUAGAGUGCUCCAGGCAGGCCUAUGCUCGAAUACAUUAGCAUGGAAUAAUAAAAUAGGACGUGUGGUUCUAUUUUGUUGGUUUCUAGGACCGCCGUAAUGAUUAAUAGGGACAGUCGGGGGCAUCAGUAUUCAAUUGUCAGAGGUGAAAUUCUUGGAUUUAUUGAAGACUAACUACUGCGAAAGCAUUUGCCAAGGAUGUUUUCAUUAAUCAGGAACGAAAGUUAGGGGAUCGAAGACGAUCAGAUACCGUCGUAGUCUUAACCAUAAACUAUGCCGACUAGGGAUC